rnacentral:rRNA from 1 species
AUACGGAGGGUGCGAGCGUUAAUCGGAAUUACUGGGCGUAAAGCGCGCGUAGGCGGUCUAUUAAGUCAGAUGUGAGAUCCCAGGGCUCAACCUUGGAACUGCAUCUGAUACUGGUAGACUAGAGUUUUGGAGAGGGAAGUAGAAUUUCAGGUGUAGCGGUGAAAUGCAUAGAGAUCUGAAGGAAUACCAGUGGCGAAGGCGACUUCCUGGCCAAAAACUGACGCUGAGGUGCGAAAGCGUGGGUAGCAAACGGGAUUAGAUACCCCAGUAGUCC